rnacentral:rRNA from 1 species
AGUGAACGCUGGCGGUAGGCCUAACACAUGCAAGUCGAACGGCAGCACAGGAGAGCUUGCUCUCUGGGUGGCGAGUGGCGGACGGGUGAGGAAUACAUCGGAAUCUACUCUGUCGUGGGGGAUAACGUAGGGAAACUUACGCUAAUACCGCAUACGACCUACGGGUGAAGGCAGGGGACCUUCGGGCCCUGCGCGAUUGAAUGAGCCGAUGUCGGAUUAGCUAGUUGGCGGGGUAAAGGCCCACCAAGGCGACGAUCCGUAGCUGGUCUGAGAGGAUGAUCAGCCACACUGGAACUGAGACACGGUCCAGACUCCUACGGGAGGCAGCAGUGGGGAAUAUUGGACAAUGGGCGCAAGCCUGAUCCAGCCAUACCGCGUGGGUGAAGAAGGCCUUCGGGUUGUAAAGCCCUUUUGUUGGGAAAGAAAUCCAGCUGGCUAAUACCCGGUUGGGAUGACGGUACCCAAAGAAUAAGCACCGGCUAACUUCGUGCCAGCCGCCGCAGUAA